CCGAUACUGCGCGAGCUCGCGGGCAGUGUCGCGCCGGAGAGAAAUUAGUUUAAUUUUAAAUCUUUCCGGUGAGAAAACAGCUUCAACAUUCAUCAGUAAACUGUUAAUGUGCAGAUAUACUGAGGAGGAAGCCUUUCCUAUCUAUGUUCCCGUCCAAAUGAUGUUGGCACUCGGGGUUAACAGGACACCAGGAUGGGAUGCAAAGGAUUUUGAGUGAAGUGAGAGGAGAAAUUGUGGGGGAACUGGCCAUAAUAUUACAGUCUCCCCUGGACUCGGAGGUGGUGCCCGGAGACUCUAGGAUUGACAACGUUACGGACUUGUUCCAAAAAGGAUUUACAGCCUCAUCAGUUUAACUCUGGUGGUGGGGAAGCUUCUGGCAACAAUUAUUUGGAAUAAAGUUGUAGUCACAUGGAAAAAGUUAUAAUCCACAUCCAAUGUGAACAACGAGGUGGGAAAAAGGAUCCAUCUGGAGGGAACUGGGAUCGUUGAAUGAAUAAUAGCAGCAGGUUAAUCACUACAGGACUAUGAGAGUACCAACCCAAUAGAAUCCUUCAAAGAGCUUUCAUAGAUGAACAAUUGAGAAAGUGUUUCUUUCUGGAAUCUGGAACAACUGUAACUGUCAUGGCUAAAAGUUCAAGUGGGAAGAAAUUAGUUGCUUCAAAAAAAAUGAAAAUGUAAAUGGAAGACAACAUUGGCUGGAAUGCUCCCAGGCCCUGAAUGACAUGGACAACAGUGAGAAAUCUGGGAGAAUCCCAUCAGAACUCAAGCAAUACCUACCCUAACAUUUGAGAGCAACAAGUCACAUUUUCUCCGUUCUACAUUACUACCCAAGGCCCUACCAUUAAUUGCAUAAGCUCCCCUUGUUUGUUGUACCAAAAUGCAAUACCUCGCAUUUAUCCAGAUUGAACUCCAUGUGCCAUUUUUCAGCCUAUUGAUCUAUUUGAUCAAGAUGCUAUUACAAUUUUAGAAAACCUUCUUCACUGUCUACUAUGCCACCAAUUUUGGUAUCAUCUGCAAACUUACUAACCACGCCUUGUGAGUAUUUAAGGCUGAGGUGGAUUCUUGAUCAGUUGGGAAGUCAAGGAUUAUAGAGAAAGGGCACAAAAGUGGAAAUGUUGGAUCAGCCAUGAUCUUAUUGAACGGCAGAAGAGGGUCGAUGGGUUGAAUAGCCUGCUCCUGUUCCAAUGUCUUACUGACUUAUGUUGUAAUAAUAAUGUACAAUGUGAUACAAUAUAUGUUAGAACAUGAACACUGACAAUAAUAAUGUAGUGUUAUUUUAAUACAGAAUAUUUAUAAAAUAUUUUAAUAAUUACUGUUACUGACAUGAAUAUGGUAUUUAUGAACACUAUUUCUGAUAGUAAUAAUGUGGUAUUGAUUAAUAUCUCUAUCACAGAUAUUAACAAUAAUGUACAAAGCGAUUAUUGAUAACACUUUUGCUGAAAAGAAUAAUAACACACAACGUUUAAUGCCACUAUUACUUCUGCUGGUUACUUUUAUUAAACUAAUUACACUAUCACUGAUAUAAAUAAUGUGCAGCUUUAUUGAUAGCAGUCAUUACUGGCACUGAAAAUAAUGUACAGUGUUAUUAAUGAAAUGAUGACCAACAAUCAUCACAGAUCGUGCCAGAUAUCCAGUUCUUAUAAUCACAGUCACACCCAAUCUGGUACUUACCUCAGUUUCUGUAUUUUACAGUUCGGGUUCCCCAGAGCCAUAGACAAUUGUUUCACUCCUGAAUCACACAAUUUAUUAUCACUUAGGUUCAGAUCCAUCACUGACCAAUGUGCAGUGAGAGCAGAGAUGAGUUCCUAGGUUCCAGAAUCUGACUGACAUCAUUCAGGCUCGGGAUUGGAUCAGACAAGUGAAAUAAUGGAUAGCAGAAAACAGGACAUGUGUAAAAUUCAAUACGGACACGGAUACUGCAGAUAACAAUAGCAAUGUAC